rnacentral:lncRNA from 9 species
AUCAGUUUCAUUGUUGACUGUUUUAGGUGAGUUCUCCUGUUGGUUUGACUGGGGGUGGUUUCUCAGCUUCUUCAUCUUGCUUGUUGUCUUCUUUCUCCUGAGGGAGUUGUACUCUCCGUUAUCGGGUAGUGUUUGCCUUGUCACUGCCCUGGAAUAUUUCCUGAGGGCUGUCGUUGUUGGUCAAUCUUUUUUUGAGGCAGUGUGGCUUUUCUGGAGUGUUGAUGGGACUAACAGUGUUUCUUUGAAGCAAAGGAGGACUUCCUGAGGGCAGACAGGACUGGGAGGUCCACCCCACGAUGGUAGCAGAUUUCACUUGGUUCUCAGCACCCCCUGGGGUCUUGGGCGGGUAGCAGGGCCCUUGGAGACUCAAGAGGUUCCUCCCCAGGGCAGCCCGACUCAGAAAGACCGUCUGAGAUCUUUUCCCGAUUCCGCCAGGCUUGUUGCAGCUUUUCUGGGCUGCAGGGGGUCCUGCCUGGAGCUGGCAGUCCUAUGCAGCUGGUCCACUAGGUCUCAGCACCCCUUGGGGUCUUGGGCGGGUAGCAGGGCCUUUGGAGACUCAAGAGGCUCCUCCCCAGAACAGCCCGACUCAGAAAGACCGUCUGAGAUCUUUUCCCAAGUCGGCCAGGCUUGUUGCAGCUUUUCUGGGCUGCAGGGGGUCCUGCCUGGAGCUGGCAGUCCUAUGCAGCUGGUCCACUAGGUCUCAGCACCCCCUGGGGUCUUGGGCGGGUAGCAGCCUUGGAGACUCAAGAGGCUCCUCCCAGGACAGCCCGACUCCGAAAGACCGUCUGAGAUCUUUUCCCGAUUCGGCCAGGCUUGUUGCAGCUUUUCUGGGCUGCAGGGGGUCCUGCCUGGAGCUGGCAGUCCUAUGCAGCUGGUCCACUAGGUCUUAGCACCCCCUGGGGUCUUGGGCGUGUAGCAAGGCCCUUGGAGACUCAAGAGGCUCCUCCCCGGGGGAGCCCGUCUCAGAAAAACCGUCGGAGAAUUAGGUCGAUCUAUUCACGGCCUGGCUAGGCUUGUUCUAGCUUUUCUGGGCUGCAGGCCUUUUUUAGGGGGCUGAUGGUGUUUGGUGCUGCUCUGUGGAAGUGUAGCCCCACCAAUGGGCAAGCAGGCCUGUGCAGGGAGAGCCCCUGCGGUGGUAGGCUUCAGGCAAUUGUUGAGGCCAGCCCUCCUGGAUGGCAGGCAGCCCCAGGUUCGGCGAGAGCGUAGGGGGUGGCGGGGGUGGGGGGAGGGAAUGCACUGGGAAGCACAGCUUUCUGCUAGCUAGCGGGCCUGUAAGCUUGUUGUGGCGUGGGGGGUAUUCUAUGGGGACCCACCCCUUCUUCUCUCCCCUCCCCAGCACGGGCGCAGACCAGGCUCUUCUCCCAGGUUCCCUCUGAGGCGGCUUUCCACUUCCCCGCCCUUAGAGUAUUGCUCCCUUCCUCUGCGACAGCUUUGUUUUCUAGUCUCCCAGGCAGUCUCUGCCCCGUCAAAUGGUUUAGAGACCUCCCAAGCAGUUUCCGCUCUUCCCCGCCCCCCUAGCCCGGGGACUAAUCUCUGGAGCCGAGGUCUUGGUGCCCAGUCCCCCCCCCCAGGCGUCCCCCGGCCCUUUCUUGGGGACUAACCUUCGGAGGCGAGGUCUCGGUGCCCAGCCCCAACCCAGGCGUCCCCGGCCCCCUCUCGGGGACCAAACUUCAGAGCUGAGGUCUCGGUGCCCAGCCCCCACCCAUGCGUCCCCCGGCCCUUUCCCGGGGACUAACCUCUGGAGCCGAGGAUUCGGUGCCCAGCCCCCACCCAGGCGUCUCAAUUUUUGGUGACUGUGCCCGUAGUUCAGAUGGUCCGUUGGGUUCUUGAUCGUUUUUCCGUACUCCGACUUACUGCUACACUCUUCUCUGCAUCUGGAGAUUCCUCCGGUUCGUUUGAUCUUUCCCCCGGUAGGAGACUUUCCAGGGUGCGGGAUCCCUUUCUCCUCCGCAGUUCCCUUUCGGGAGCGCCCGUCCCGCUCGGAUUCACCUUCUCUCACUCUCCUCUUUUCUCCCGUUCUGCCCAAUAAUGUCACGAACUUCUUGCCGUUAUUGGAGUUUAGGUUCCUCUGCCAGCGAUUGGUUGUUGUUCUGUGCGAGUCAUUUCUUCUGUAGAUGUGCUUUUUUUGUUGUGUUUGUGGGAGAGGGCGAGCGUGUCCCCCUACUCCUCCGCCAUCUUGUCCUCUCUGCCUAAUACAUCUAAAAUUCUAUAUUUAGCCAGUCACAUGACUUUUGCUUAAUAGCCAUAUUUGCUUAAUAAAUAUCUUAUUGGUCAGGGCAGCUAUAGAACAUUUGCAUGAACAAAGUGAGUUCUUUUAGAGCUGCUUUAGAUGAUUUUAUUCAGUUGGAGAUAGAACAUUGAUGCAAUUCUCCUACAAUCCAAAGGGGAAUACUGAGACCAGGUUUGAGAAACUGCUAAAGCUUGAAUUCCAGUGAGUACUAAAGGAAGCUUUGCUGCAGUGUUUUUACUCUUACUUCUGGGUUUUAUAUAUUGCUUGGCUUUUCUCUUGAAGUCUUAGAAAGCUCCCUUGAUGGUCUAAAUGAAGACCGUUUACUAGCAAGAGACCCCAAGGUGAGAAAGCUGUUUAAUUUUUUUUUUUGAGGAAGGGCUAAGGUGUACAUAGAGAAAAGACGCUAUGAGAAAUCAACUGUGGAAGAAAAUUCGAUUUUUUUAAACAUAAUUAUUUUGUAAAUUUUUAUUUUAGAAUUCAGGUACAACAUGAUAGUCCCUGCUGUGUCAUAAAGAUAAAAAAUAGAAAACAUGCAUAAAACUGAUUGUUCUCUCCUUUUCCCUCAUAAUUUUGGUGGGUUUAUUAUCAAAUAUAGAUAUACAUACAAUUUUACUUAGUGGGAGGAAAAAUUGUUUCAUAGAUAUUUAUAUAUUUUGCUUUUUUCUUGUUAACAACUAAUAAGUAGAAGCAAUGAGAUCCUGCUGUGUAGCACAGGGGACCAUAUCCAGUCACUUGUGAUGGAACAUGAUGGAGGAUAAUGUGAGAAAAAGAGUAUACAUAGAAAAAAUAUAUAUAUAUAUGACUGGGUCAUUUUGCUGUACAUUAUAAAUUGACAGAACACUCUAAGUCAGCUAUAAUGGAAAAAAUAAAAA